GGGAGCCGUAGUUUGCCAACCCCUGACUUACACAGACCCCACUUUCACGCUUAGAAAUAAUUUGCUUCUUUACCUCUUAGAGUUAUCAUGGUUCUCUUCCUUUUGCUAAUUUUAUCCAUGUCAGCAGUCCCACAGUUAAUCAAUAAGUAGCUGAACUGGGUUCCACACAGUCCCCCAAACAAUGGCACAAGGCAGAGUUCCCCAAAAGUCCCCAAAACGAAGGAGCAAAGCAGAGACAAAGGCACAAGGCAGACUCCCAAAAACAAUGGAACAAAGAAGAAUCCCAAAAUUUUCCACUCACCCCCUCCCACAGGGUGGGUGGGCUUACCUGGCCAGGUGCCACUCACCUUGCUACCAGCUGGGGGGGGCAGGGCCAGUAAAGGGCUGAUGCUUUUCGGCCCAGGCUCACUUUGUUUUCUUACCAGGUUCACCGCUGGACUUCGCUCUUGGUCUUGGUUAGGUAAGUGUUUCUCGUCGGGGUUUGGAGCUACGGUGUGGCCUGCUGGGCCCCCUAUGGCCGGCACUGCUUCCGCGGCUUUGGGGGCGGGGUGAGGGCCGCGGUGCGGCCUGCUAGGCCUCCUGCGGCUGGUGUCUUCUUCCCCCGACAGCGGGGGCCGAAUCCAGGCUUCACAGGUUGCGCGGUCUAGCUCUGGGCCGUGGGGUGGCCUACUGAGGCCUCCCGCGGUGAGAGCCCGGCAGCAGAGGCUGAAUCAAGUCCACACAGGUGCUGGGGCCUAGUUCCGGGCCACGGCGCAGCCUACCAAGGCCUCCCACAGCCAGAGCCCACAAAUUCGCAUUCCAAAAAAAUAAUACGCAAAUCGGAAUACUCAUUUCCAGGGAUGAAGUGUUCAUGAUCCAAAUAGUUCAUUAACCAGGCUGUUCGUAACCCAAGGUACCACUGUACUUAUCUUUUGUUUCUUGGUCCAUCUAGUUCAUGCUCGCUAAGAGACUCUACAGGAUGUGUUGAAUAUAGAAACUGCAUUAAUUUUAAGUUUGUUUGGUACAGAUAUUAUUAGGAGCAAUGUGUGUAAGAAAGGGAGAGUAGCUUGUGUUAUAGACUAUUUACCAAUAUUCAUGCAGUAACUUCCGCUAAAUGUGAUCUCAUAGCUCUGACUUUUUUCUUGUUCCUUCCUUCAGUCCAUAAGUUAAAGGAUUUUACCCACUCUUCACUAACAUUAAAUAAUCUUUAACUUUCACUUGAAAUACUUUUGUUACUUCAAAAGGACGUUCUCUUUCGGAUAAUCUACAGGCUUCUUAGGAAGGUCUGAAUAUAGGUAUACAAUAUAUCAUUUCUGUCCUGGUAAUUUUGUGCUAAAUAACUGAUCACAUACUGCUACUUACAGAACUCAGGACAAGGACACUCAGCAUAUUACAUUAAGGACAACAGUUAGAAAUUUCCUUUUAUUUAAUACAUCUGAAUCACUAUUCCCUGCAAAAUGCUGGAUGGUGCACAUUCAAGGUCAGUUUGCAUUAUGCUCUGCAGCACGUGGAUUGAGUGAAUGCUUCUUUAACUUGCCUUGCAUGUUUUAUUAAGCUUCUGUAUGAUGAGUCAAGAUGAAGCAUCUACAGAUCUCAUGUCACGCUCACGGGCAAAGGGACUGAGCCACAUGAUGUCCUGAUCCAUAGUGAUGUCCACCACCAAAGGAAGGUGAUAACCCAAACAAGGUGGAUAUCAGUAGGCCAGGAACCAGAAGGGAAGGUAACAGAUGACUAGGGUAGGCAAAGCAAGGAUAAUGACCAAGAUUAGCUAAGGCAGGAGUUACACAGUGGUUUCUUAGAGCAACUGGAAGAGAUGGCAGCCUGUCUGCUUUAUGCUGCACUUAGACUGUUAAAGGACUGGUAUGUUCCUCUAGACUGGAGUUUCAAGCUGUGAGGACUCCCUAGAGCAGGGGUCAGCAAACUUUUUCAGCCGGGGGCCGGUCUACUGUCCUUCAGACCUUGUGGGGGGCCGGACUAUAUUUUGAAGGGGGGGAACGAAUUCCUAUGCCACACAAAUAACCCAGAUAUGCAUUUUAAAUAAAAGCACACAUUCUACUCAUGUAAAAACACCAGGCAGGCCCCACAAAUAACCCAGAGAUGCAUUUUAAAUAAAAGGACACUGAACCACCCGCAGGCCAGAUUUAGAAGGCGAUUGGGCCGAAUCUGGCCCCCGAGCCUUAGUUAGCCUACCCAUGCCCUAGAGGAAGGCUUGGGGGUCUCCUGAUCCCUCCAAGGAGUCUGUGGUCUGGUCAUCAAGAGUCCAGUGGCAGGAGGAUCUCCUCAAGGUUCAGCGCAUGAGAUGUGCCAGCAGUUUCACAGAGGAAAGGUUGGGGAGUGGCUCCAACUCCUCAGGACUACUGUUGUGGAAGGAUCUGCAUCUGAGGAUUGCUGGUCUGGAGCCACUGGAAGGAUGUGCAAUUAAAGAGCUUCACAGAGCCCUUUAAUUGAGCUCUGUGAAUUUAAAUUGCUAUCUAGCUUCUCCUGUAUUUGUUUCCACCAAAGAAAAGUGGAAGAAACUGAGGAGCACUGGCCCUGCUUUGUCUUUCAUCUACUACCUUGUAUUUUCACUUUUGGAAACUACUUUUGAGAUGAUGUUCACUCUUAACAAUCUCUAGAUCAGAGGCAGACAUUGCAGUGUCCUCUACAUGUUGUUGGAUUACAGCUCCCAUCAGCCCCAGCCAGAAUAGCCAAUGGUCACAGGUGAUGGAAAUUGUAGUCCAGCAUCACAUGGGGGGCACCAUAUAGGCUUCCCUGAUUUAGAUUUAAAUUUAGCAAGGUAUGGGAAUCAUUUUACUUUACUCUUCUGAUGGUUACUUCUCAUAUUGUUCCCUAGUUUAAUUCGCAUUGAAAACUAGGCAUAACUUGCUACAGGAGGAUUCAAUUGCAUGAGGUCAUACCACGUGGCACACAUAGCUGUAAUAACUUAGAGUGCAGUACUCAAUGAUAAGAAAAUAUAUUUAGAUGCCCUUAAGUUCAUUAGAGAUUGCCAAAGGUCGCACUUUAUGUUCCGCUAAUUUUAUUGAAGUUUAUUGUUAUGGCAGUGACCUGAACUCUGGCUGUGUGGCCUUUAACACAUAGUAUAUAUAUAUUCUGCAAGAAAUUCAAUUUUAAUUUUAGAUAACAUAUGGUUAAGUUAUUGCUUCAUUAAUCAAAAUCGGUUGAUCAACUGUAAGCUCAAGUAACAAAAGUAUCUAACUUGAAUGAAAGCAGGCUCAAACACUCAGCAGAAAUUUCCAUAUGAUAUUGUUUAAAUUAAACACGUAUAUGGCUCCACUAUACAAAAAGCAGGAUUUCAAACUGUUCAAUUAAUGCCUAACAAAUGGCAUAUUUUAAGCAAUAUCUGAGAGCCUCCAACUGCACCCUUCAUGUCCCUGGAGAGUAGAGAUGUUGCUUCAUUAGGCCGACAUAACCACCUGGUGUUGAAUUUCCAGUGUCUUGAGAAUUUGUAACAUCUGGUACAUACUGUGAUCUCCUUUUACGUAUGUUUCAUCUUUUAUUGUAAUUUUAUGACAAAUGGAUUAAUUAAUAUGGUGUACAUUAUUUGAGAUAUUCAGCUUAAUAUAAAGCAACAUUUAGAACACAGAUGCACCCAAAAAAUUGAAAUACCUUAAGAAAUGCUGCUAAUAUUGGUCAAGUCUUAUUGUUAUUCUGUGGCAACUGUUGUUUGUGGUUAACUAUGGAUUAUGGCCGCCAAAAAUUGCAUGGCAAUAUGUAAACAAAAAUCUUCACCUGUUUUCAGUUUUUAUAUUUUAAGAUUUCUUCUUAAACAAAAAAUAAAAUGAACUGAUCCCUUCCUGCAAGCUCUUCGUCUUCACCUUGACCUGCUGCUAAUUAGACUGAAUAUUCUUGUGUACUUUAAAUUUUGCCUUUCAUAUAGUAGUUAGAAGAAUGAUUGGCAUUUCAUAGUUUCCUUCCCCUCCUUGCUCACCCUUUCUCUGCCUUUCAGAACUUCCUUUCAUUUUACCUAGCCUUCUCAGUUAUGUAGUAAUGCCAAGUUGAAGAUGUUUGGAUAGAGUCAAAUGGUUUUUCUUUAAUGGUGUUUUGGAUGUUCGGUUCAGUUAGCAGGAGCUCAUCAAGAAUAGAAAGAAAUAUCUUGUAGGCAAGAACUUGAGGCCCUUCUUUGUAUGGUAGUAUGGGCUGGGAACUGAUUGGGGAGAGAAGUUAGCAAGUUGAUUGUUGAGGAGUAUCUGGAAUUGUCCUUGGUCCCAAAAUAACCACCACAUCUGUGAAAUUUCACAGGAUGUUUCCUAACUGAUACAGAUCAGUAUCUCCAUCUCAACUCAUAAGUAUGCAAGUAACUAAUCUGAGGUCUAAUAUUUCUGUUGUAAGUUGUUUGUGGUGUGCUUGAAUUUUUAAUUUUUUUAUUUGCCAUGAAUAUGCUAAGUUACUUGUAUCUGUCUCAGUUCUCCAGCUGUAAAAUUGGGGGAGAGAUGGAAUCAAUAAAGGACUGAUUCAUUUAAGAAUGUGUAUUGGAUUGGUUCAAAUGGAACAAUUUAUUUCUGUUUCCUUUUGUUGUGCAGAUAUCGUUAAACACUACUUGUUGUACACUUUGCCAAGUGCAUUGCGGUACUUGUGCAACAAUUUCUAGAGUGGUACUUUCAUAUUACUUGACUUGUGAUUGACUUGCCAAAAUGGUAGACCACCAUUAUUUAUUUAUUUUUAGUAUAAUGACCACAGAAUGGUUGAGGUUGGAUUGGAAGGAGAAGCUAAAAAGUCAAAUUUUCUUCAGAUGUGAGAAAGGGACAGAGACUGCAAUCUUUAAUGUAUUGGCUCCUGGUGCUGCUGCUUGAUCAUGGCUUGUUUAACUAUUUGGAAUAUUAGACAAGUCAAAGGGACAAAUUUUAAUAAGUGCUGAUCUGACAUAAAUAAUUCACCAACUGCAAUUUCAUCAUUAUAAAAAUCACGGACAUUUUUUGUGAGGCAUUAAAACGUGCUUAUAUUUUAAUCACCAACGAUAGGGUUUUGCCAGUAAGACCUUAUUCUUCCUCUAUUUUUUAUAUAUUUGUGUUUUUCUAAUAUAUCCAGAUGUGAGAUUGCUUGUAUAAUAAUAUUGUGAAGCUGAAGUUCUGAAAAAGAAGAAAGAGAGAAAAGAGCAGCUCUGGAAUGGCAAUAUGUCAAGAAACCUCUGCUAUUUGUUAAACGCUGUUUUCAUUUUAACGGUUAUAAAAAUGAGAAGUGUCCUUAAUAUUGGGCUCUAUUGAUCAGUAAAGGUCAGGGGCAGGCUGUACAUUGCAUGUACCUACCAUUGCAGAGUAGCCGGCUAGCU